AAUGCACAGAGGACUGCAGAAACCCAGCAGAAGGCCAAUAAGGAGCGAAGGUCCUUUUUGGGAUCUGCUGAUGAUGUAAGCCUAAGGGAGAGGAAGGAAAGAAUUUCACUGGCUUAUCACCCAACACAUAUGAACUUCAGUUGAGUCACAAGUUUUAUGGCGGUACAAGCCAUACUUCAGUUUCACCUUAAUCAUCAAGAAACAAGAUGAAUCAUCGGGGGAAAAAAGUAAAAUUGAUAUAAUGCUUUUAGCAUCUGUAAAAAGGACAUUGGCAGUCACAGGAAAUACAAACCUUCUGUGGAGUUGGACUGGAGCUUGGCGAUAGAUUUGAAAAAGGACGGCUGAAAUGCUAAAAGCCGUCUUCAGGCACAGGACGUCGAAGUAACCCGACGCAGUCCGGCGCAGACCGAAGCCAAUGGAAACAUGGCACUUGUUUGUAAGGUACGGCGCGAGCUUCCAUAACCCCAGCAACUCCCUCACAUCACUGGCUUCAGGUUCUCACCAGCUGGCUGGGCUUCCUUGACUCCUUGCCACUGCAUGCUCUCAUUGUCCAAGCAUUUAAAAAUCCACAAUGAAAUGGCUUUAAUUUCAUCGCCAUUUACUAGUCUGCUCUACGGUCUGUGGAGUACUCAGGGUCUACACCCAGACUGCACACAUUUUAUAAACAAGUAUUGCAGUCAAACCAGUGCUCCCCACAGAAGUACCCAUUAAUCAAUGUAUGCUUCCCUUGGGUAUCAUUCUGGUUAGUUAUAGUGUGUUUAGGGCUGCUUUUCCAGUUAAUUCGUACAGAAGAGCGUACCUAAGCAUUCAAUAUCAAAUUAGCAUUUUUAAAAUACAUUUUCAGUGAUUACCACAGUCAAACACUCUUACAUUUCCCUAAAACAUCUGCCUCUAUAUGGUUUAUUAAUAUACAUUUAAAGAGGCUGUGUACAUACAGUGUAAUUACUACUGCAGGUUUUGUGCAUACUUCAUCAUACUGCUGAAAGGUCUUCAGUGUACAGUGAAAGGUCCUCAGCGUACAGUGAAAGGUCCUCAGCAUACAGUGAAAGGUCCUCAGCAGUCAGUGUUGGUUUUGCAUGCCUGCUAUCACUGAUGCUAUGUUGUACAGUGCAUCCAAGGGUCGGCGGUUCGAAUACUACCUAUGCUGUGGAGUCUGCAUGCUGU